rnacentral:rRNA from 1 species
CCUACGGGGGGCAGCAGUGGGGAAUAUUGGGCAAUGGGCGCAAGCCUGACCCAGCAACGCCGCGUGAAGGAAGAAGGCUUUCGGGUUGUAAACUUCUUUUCUCAGGGACGAAGAAAGUGACGGUACCUGAGGAAUAAGCCCCGGCUAACUACGUGCCAGCAGCCGCGGUAAUACGUAGGUGGCAAGCGUUAUCCGGAUUUAUUGGGUGUAAGGGGCGUGUAGGCGGGAGCGCAAGUCAGAUGUGAAAACUCAGGGCUCAACCCUGAGCCUGCAUUUGAAACUGGGUUUCUUGAGUGCUGGAGGGGCAAUCGGAAUGCCGGUGGGAGCGGUGAAAUGCGUAGAUAUACGGAGGAACACCAGUGGCGAAGGCGGAUUGCUGGACAGUAACUGACGCUGAGGCGCGAAAGCGUGGGGAGCAAACAGGAUUAGAUACCCGGUAGUC